CAUUUCCACCUUGCAUUAUUUAAACCUCAGUUCUCAGCUCAGAGUUAAUGGACUCUUGAGGUGUUUGUUUCCUGUAACUCUUACGUAACCCACUUGCAGGUGUGGGAAAUCUCUUGUUCUCAGUUUGAAUCAUCACAAGCAACAGCUAAACACAUAACCCGUGGUGGGAAACAUUUACUCCAUGAAAUUGAAAAUUCUGAAACAAACCAGGGCCUGGCACCUUCACUCUCGCUGGCUCCUGGCCCAGAGGAGAAUCCAGGAGGCUGUCUGCCCUCACCCAAAGAGUGAGCUUCCUGAGUCCACCGGCCUCCAGCCUCUCCCAGGGAAAGGUUUGGUGAAAGAAGCCAUCCUGCUUCACUUCCUGCGGAUCACUGGAUCAUGAUGCUUGGGCACUGCUGAUGGAAAAGAGAAACAUUUCAAAGAAAUACAAGGUGCACGGCUCUCGUGGGCUGCCUGGUCAUCGAGAAUGAUGUCCAUGGGAGAGCUCCACGAUGGGGCCCGGUUUUAUGGCUGGCUGAGUUCUUCCCGGAUGUGGGCGUCCAUCCCUUCAGGCCAAGGUGAAGGCUCAGAACGUCUGGGAGAAGUGACCCUGUGGAGCCAGAGUCAGAGCCCAACACAGAC